CUAUUUUCAUUGGAAACAUCUACCAUUAACAUAAGAGAAAUCAAAGAAAAGUAGACUUUUUGGAAAUCUAAAUUGUUCUUGAGAUUGAAUCAACCGAAGGCAAACGUUGCAAAGUCUACAUUUAACAUAAGACACGUCUACUAUUUUCAUAAGAAAUGUCUACCAUUAUAUAAGCGAAAUGAAAGAAAAGUAGACUUUCUGGAAAUCAAAAAUUGUUCUUGAGAUUAAAUCAACCGAAGGUGAAAGUUUCAAAGUCUACAUUUAACAUAAGAUACAACUGUCUUUUUCAUAAGAAAUGUUUACCAUGCAUUAACAUAAGAGAAAUCAAAGAAAAGUAGACUUUCUGGAAAAUUAAAUUGUUCUUGAGAUUGAAGCAAAUUAACCAAGGUAAAAAAUGUAAAGUCUACAUUUAACAUAAGACACAACUAAUUUUUUCAUAAGAAAUGUCUACCAUUAACAUAAGAGAAAUCAAAGAAAAGAAGACUUUCUGGAAAUCUAAAUUGUUCUUGAGAUUGAAGAAAAACCAUGGUAAAAGAUGCAAAAUCUAUAUUUAACAUAUGAAACAACUACUUUUUUCAUAAGAAAUGUCUACUAUGAAAAGAAUGUCUUGACAACAGCCCAAGACUGGGAUACCAACCUAGCAUAAUAAGCCUUCUACAAUUCCCAUAAUAAGCUUCCCACAGUUCCCAACUAGCAGCAUUUAGAUUGAAAGAGAAGACAACAUAACAUAUUCUUUAAAUUAUAUGAGGCUGGUGAGCUAUUAAAAAACCUAAACUUCAACAGUUCAUAAUCCUACCAACAUUUACACCAAUCAGGGAGAAUAAUUGCAAAUAACAAAUCACAAAACAAAAGCUAUAAAAAGAACAACCAAUCCAUAAUAUAUAUAUGAUUAAACGCUUCAGCAUCAUAAGAUCCAUGAAAACUAGUUCAAUGAAAACUAAUAGAAAAGUAGAUCGAAACACAUAAUACAUUGUUCAUACAUAAACUGCAUUGUUCUUAAACCAAAAAAAUAAAACAUUACAUCAUUAAGUUCGAAACCAUUUAUUUACUUUCAGAAGAAGAAGAUGGAUGAGGAUCAAGGCUUGGCACAUGUGCUUGAGUGGCAGCAUAGCGGACCUUAUCUGUCCAGCGAAAUGCCAUCACAACAAUGCUGCGACUUUCUGGAACGAACCUCAGAUGAACCCAAUCGUUGGGAUGGAUUUCAUAGGCCUCCACAAACUCCUGCCAACCAGCGUCAAAUAUGAUGUAGUUCCGAUUGUUGCAUGUUAGCUCGACGUCAUCCCUGAUCCACGGGUACGACUUCAGGUGAAACUGAAAUUGACCCAUUCCUGCUUCUACAAGUCUUCUAUAGAAUGGUCCGUGAGCAUUGAUCUAUAGAAAUCACCAAACAAGGAAUAAGAACACGGCAGAAAACUCAGAAGAAAAACCACAAAGAAAAGGCAAGUGAAAGUGUUUGGAAAAAUUACCAUUGGGCGCCCCGGCAACAGAUGUGAUGGGCAUCAAG
rnacentral:lncRNA from 1 species